GUUUUGUGGUUUGGGAUGAUCAUGUGAAAAAGCACAAGUUUGAUCUUAGUGGAAAUAUCAAGGGGAAACUCUUAGGAAUUGAAGUAGACCAAGUGGUUAGAUCGAACCAAGAUAAUUAUCUAUUGUGGUAUCUCUAUCCCUCAUCUCUUUAGUUUUCAGUUAUUUAUUUUAUUCAUAUGUUUAUUUCUCUUCUUAUUCUCAUAUAAUUUAUUUUUUUGUUUCACGUCAGUUUUCUAUUUCAAAUAAUU
rnacentral:lncRNA from 1 species